GCCCCGGUAGCUUAGCCCAGCAAAGCGCCUGCCUCGUAAGCAGGAGAUCGCGGGUGCAAAUCCCGCUCGGGGCUCCA
rnacentral:tRNA from 1 species